GGGUUUUGAAUUGAAAACCCAGGAAUGGGCUGUUCAAAUUUUGAUCAAAGGUGGGGCAUACAGUAGCCUUAUCCUCUUCGAAUUAGAAAGAAGGUGAGACGCUGCAUCUCGGGGCAUCAACAAAGUCUUCUAGGACUUCUAAAUACAUAUCAAGUUUAAAAAGAUCUUCAAGAAGCUCAUGCAGAGAAGCUCAUGCUGCGAUACCUGGGC
rnacentral:lncRNA from 1 species